AUUGAACGCUGGCGGCAGGCCUAACACAUGCAAGUCGAGCGAGCGGCGGACGGGUGAGUAAUGUCUGGGAAACUGCCUGAUGGAGGGGGAUAACUACUGGAAACGGUAGCUAAUACCGCAUACCAUCAGAUGUGCCCAGAUGGGAUAAGCUAGUAGGUGGGGUAACGGCUCACCUAGGCGACGAUCCCUAGAUGCUCUGAGAGGAUGACCAGGCACACUGGAACUGAGACACGGUCCAGACUCAGAAGGCAGGCAGCAGUGGGGAAUAUUGCACAAUGGGUGAAAGCCUGAUUCAGCCAUGCGCCGUGUGUGAAGAAGGCCUUCGGGUUGUAAAGCAAUUUCAGCGGGGAGGCGUUACCCGCAGAAGGAUGACCGGCUAACUCCGUACCAGCAGCCGCGGUAAUAC
rnacentral:rRNA from 1 species